rnacentral:snRNA from 1 species
GAUUUACCCUAAUCUGCAAAU